rnacentral:rRNA from 1 species
AUUGAACGCUGGCGGCAGGCCUAACACAUGCAAGUCGAGCGGAUGAAGGGAGCUUGCUCCUGGAUUCAGCGGCGGACGGGUGAGUAAUGCCUAGGAAUCUGCCUGGGAGUGGGGGAUAACGUCCGGAAACGGGCGCUAAUACCGCAUACGUCCUGAGGGAGAAAGUGGGGGAUCUUCGGACCUCACGCUAUCAGAUGAGCCUAGGUCGGAUUAGCUAGUUGGUGGGGUAAAGGCCUACCCAGGCGACGAUCCGUAACUGGUCUGAGAGGAUGAUCAGUCACACUGGAACUGAGAAACGGUCCAGACUCCUAAGGGAGGGAGCAGUGGGGAAUAUUGGACAAUGGGCGCAAGCCUGAUGCAACCAUGCCGCGGGUAUGAAGAAGGGCUUCGGGUUGUAAAAUACUUUUAGCGGGGAGGAAGGGAGAAAAGUUAAUACCUUUGCUCUUUGACGGUACCCAAAGAAGAAGCCCCGGCUAACUCCGUG